rnacentral:lncRNA from 1 species
GAAAGCUGUCUGUGGGCCUCCUUCCUGCUCAAGUUCCUAGAACGAACUGCCGCCUAGCCCUGUCCACAGGAAGUAAAUGAAUUCCAGAGGCUACUCUCUAUGUCACUUCCUCUGCCUCACAAGUGCCAAUGGUGGCUCAAGCUUGGCUUAGGACAGCCCAGGUGGGCAGUUAGUUAUUUCUGAUUUGUCAUUGACUAGCACAUGCCCAUGUAGUGUGGGUGUGCACAAUUUUGGGUGCUAGACCAAGCAAGAUAGAGAUUCAAAAAUCAUAGUCUUUAGUAGCUAUGGCUAUAACACCUGCAGGAACAGUUGCUAGGCUACAUCUUCACAGAGAUUGUUUGCCAAGAUGUUGGUUAUGAACGCUUUUUUGGAAGUAUUGCUAUUACCAAGGCUUUUGGCUUUAGGAGUCCUGGCUAUGUCUACUGGGAUCUGAGGGAAGAUGAUGAUCAAGGUUGGAGUAGUAAUGGUUUGACUAGUAUGACACCUACUGCCUCCUGAACCUCCCUCAGGAUGCUUUGGUGCCUCAGCCAAAUUGGCUCUCUCAUGCAGUACAGUAGUUGGUGGAGAAGGCUGGCCUCUUUGCCACAAAAACUGCUUCCCUCCUGUGAAGAUUGGAUUUGGCUAUCUCCUGAUUGUAACAAUGAAGGAUAAUUGCCCAUAAGGAAAUUGAUUGAUGAAGAUUGGCACCUGCUCUACCACUAGCUUAACUGAUUUUCCCAGGAAUCCGCAGCCAAGUUACUUUCCCCCCAAAUCUCCCUGACAUCAAAGCUGCUAGGAUGAGGUAAUGAAGGAUGAAGAAAGGGUCCACUUCCUCCAUUUUACAAACUGAAGGAAA